GUUGAUCCUUCACAUAUAGGUGCCGUAGGGUGUGGGAAUGGAACUACCAGGGCCCAACAUAUCAAAUAUAGACUUGUAACUGCUAAACCAGGGCAGAUGUUCAUGUUGCCGUUUAAUUCAGGGAUGAUCAUUUUGUAUGCAUGCAUCUAGUGAUCACUGGAUGUUGACAAUUAUUCAUCCUGAAGAAGGUACUGCCUAUUUUAUGGAUCCACUGAAAAGUCGCUCACCCACUGGAGAUUGGAUGUCUAUUGUGGAAACGUAUGUAUAAUGUUGCAAAGAAUAGGAAAGGCGCUCGGAGUUCUACAAUAUGGAAAAAUUUGGCUGGCAUUCCUCCCCAACCUAGCAACAAGGAGUGCGGGUACUUUGUGAUGAGAUACAUGAGGGAUAUCAUUGAGGAUAAGGACUUAUCAUUGUUUGCUACCAAGUGGGAGUGGAGAGGCAAUAGUCAAUAUACGCAAGCAGAUAUUGAUGAGAUACGAAAUGAGUGGGCGAAGUUUGUCGUGAAGAGCGAGCUAUGUGUAGGCAGGCCAUGAAGUAGGUUUUUGCAGAAGGAAAGCAUCUUUUUUGUGCUUCUCUGCUGGUACAUUUUCAUGCAUCAUAUAUGUGCCAUGCAUGUUUUGGAACAAUAUGUAUCAGCUAGCUUUUGAUGUCCAAGUAGAUGGGCAUGCACUAGAAUGCUUUUCUUCUUUUAUUGUUGGCUUGAAAUAUGGACAACUUUGUUUGGGCAAUACUGCCUUUUGCAGUUUUAUGUACAGAAUGUUGGAUUAUGAUGGAUUGC